AUUUAGAGGAAGGAGAAGUCGUAACAAGGUUUCCGUAGGUGAACCUGCGGAAGGAUCAUUGUCGAUGCCUAAACAUCAAACGACCCGCGAACGCGUUUACAAACCUUCCGUGCCGGAGGGGAUGCAUCCUCUUGCUUGCCCGCCCACGCAACACCCACUCGGGUUCGCUGCGCAGGCGGGGGCACACGCUGGCCUCCCGUGCGCACCGUCGCGCGGAUGGCUUAAAUUCGAGUCCUCGGCGCCUGUCGUCGCGACACUACGGUGGUUGCUCCAACCUCGGUACCGCGUCGCGACCUCACCCCGCGCACCUCCUCCCUGCGAGCGAGCGAGGACUCCUUCGCCGACCCUCUGAACGUCGUCCCCAAAGACGAUGCUCUCGACGCGACCCCAGGUCAGGCGGGACUACCCGCU
rnacentral:misc_RNA from 1 species